AUUGAACGCUGGCGGCAUGCCUUACACAUGCAAGUCGAACGGCAGCACGGGUGCUUGCCCCUGGUGGCGAGUGGCGAACGGGUGAGUAAUACAUCGGAACAUGUCCUGUAGUGGGGGAUAGCCCGGCGAAAGCCGGAUUAAUACCGCAUACGAUCUACGGAUGAAAGCGGGGGACCUUCGGGCCUCGCGCUAUAGGGUUGGCCGAUGGCUGAUUAGCUAGUUGGUGGGGUAAAGGCCUACCAAGGCGACGAUCAGUAGCUGGUCUGAGAGGACGACCAGCCACACUGGGACUGAGACACGGCCCAGACUCCUACGGGAGGCAGCAGUGGGGAAUUUUGGACAAUGGGCGAAAGCCUGAUCCAGCAAUGCCGCGUGUGUGAAGAAGGCCUUCGGGUUGUAAAGCACUUUUGUCCGGAAAGAAAUCCUUGGCCCUAAUACGGUCGGGGGAGGACGGUACCGGAAGAAUAAGCACCGGCUAACUACGU
rnacentral:rRNA from 1 species